GUUCCGGCGCGCGCCCGGGGCGGCGGCGCGCGGCGGGGGGCGGUUAGGGUGCGCGCCGGCCGGAGUGGACGCCGCCGUGGCCGCCAUGCAGCUGACGGUGAAGGCGCUCCAGGGCCGCGAGUGCAGCCUGCAGGUGUCGGAGGACGAGCUGGUGUCCACGCUGAAACAUCUAGUGUCCGAGAAGCUGAACGUCCCCGUGCGCCAGCAGCGGCUGCUGUUCAAGGGCAAGGCCCUGGCAGAUGGGAAAAGACUCUCCGAUUACAGCAUUGGGCCCAAUUCCAAGCUCAACCUAGUGGUCAAACCUCUGGAGAAGGUGUUACUGGAAGAAAGCACCGCCCGGAGACUUGCCGAGGCCCCGCCCCCAACCCCGGCCGCCUGGCAGCUCAUCUCCAAAGUCUUGGCCCACCACUUCAGUGCUGCAGAUGCCAGCAGAGUCCUGGACCAACUACAGAGGGAUUAUGAGAGGUCCCUGAGCCGCCUGACGCUGGAUGACAUCGAACGCUUGGCUGGCCGCUUUCUACACCCCGAAGUGACAGCAGCUAUGGAGAAGGGGUUCUCCAAGUAGGAUUCUCAGAGUGUGGGGAGGAGCCUGGCCAGGCCACAAGCUGCAUGUAGCAUUAAAUGUGUUCUCAUGUUGCAAUUUGGCUCAUAAUAAUAAUAGCUGGUGGGUACCCUGGUACCCGGCCCCAGCUCUUGUUAGGUGCCAGGCACCGCUCAAAUCACUUGACCUGGGUUUGCGCCCACACUUUGCACAAAAGCGUCUGCUUCAUCCCAGGCCUCCGCCUCAGGAUCAGAAGAUGGUUGCCUGCAGCCUCCACCAAAUCCCUCGAUCCCAGCCAGCAAGGAGCACCUUCACGCCCCAUAGUGUAGCUUCUUUCUCAGAUGCACCCAGCAAAUAAACGCUGUCCUUUCACUGGUCAGAA